AAAUGGAAUGAUUAAUUAAGGGGGAGAAAGAAAAUUUCAGAGGAAGAGAUCAUAUAGAACUUAAUCGUGUAAAUUCACAACUAAAGAUGAGAGAAAGAAUACUAAAUGUAAAGUUGUAUUAAACUUUGUGCUUCAUUGAAUAUCUUUUGAAAGUUGUAUUUCCAUCUAUAUUCAACGGUAAAUCAUUUGUUUCUGAAAAUUAAUUGAAAAUGACUCCAUUUGUCUUAGUAUCGAAAAUUUAUCUUGGAAUCUACUUAUGAGUUCUUAUUGGGUUGCACUUUGGUAUUUCAAUCCUGAACCAAUUUAUUUUAAUUGAUUUUGAUGCUAUAUCUUUAAAGGAGUAAAAGAAAGUCUUUAAAAGAGCUCUAAAAGAACUUUCAAAGCUUUGGAUUUUAUAUAUGCUCUAAGAUGUAUAUAAAUUGCAUAAAAUUCAUGUUUUGAUAUUUGUGCCCCAAUUAUUUUUUUAAGUUAUUAAGAAUUAAUGAUUUAACAUGAUCUUAUGUUUUUCGAGUAUAUAAGUUUUGAUCUUUAUCUGUUUUUAUACUAUACUCUGAAAAUUAAUUAGAUUGCUCUCAUA
rnacentral:lncRNA from 1 species